UGCAUAUCCAAAAAGCGGAGGAAAAGAAACCAACAGGGAUUGCCCUAGUAACGGCGAGUGAAGCGGCAACAGCUCAAAUUUGAAAUCUGGCGUCUUCGGCGUCCGAGUUGUAAUUUGCAGAGGGCGCUUUGGUAUUGGCAGCGGUCCAAGUUCCUUGGAACAGGACGUCACAGAGGGUGAGAAUCCCGUACGUGGUCGCUAGCCUUUACCGUGUAAAGCCCCUUCGACGAGUCGAGUUGUUUGGGAAUGCAGCUCUAAAUGGGAGGUAAAUUUCUUCUAAAGCUAAAUACUGGCCAGAGACCGAUAGCGCACAAGUAGAGUGAUCGAAAGAUGAAAAGCACUUUGGAAAGAGAGUUAAAAAGCACGUGAAAUUGUUGAAAGGGAAGCGCUUGCAGCCAGACUUGCCUGUAGUUGCUCAUCCGGGUUUCUACCCGGUGCACUCUUCUAUAGGCAGGCCAGCAUCAGUUUGGGCGGUUGGAUAAAGGUCUCUGUCAUGUACCUCCUUUCGGGGAGAACUUAUAGGGGAGACGACAUGCAACCAGCCUGGACUGAGGUCCGCGCAUCUGCUAGGAUGCUGGCGUAAUGGCUGUAAGCGGCCCGUCUUGAAACACGGACCCA
rnacentral:rRNA from 1 species